rnacentral:rRNA from 1 species
UACGGAGGGUGCAAGCGUUAUCCGGAUUCACUGGGUUUAAAGGGUGCGUAGGUGGCUAUUUAAGUCAGUGGUGAAAGCCCGCGGCUCAACCGUGGAAUUGCCAUUGAAACUGAAUAGCUUGAGUACAGUUGAAGUGGGCGGAAUACAUCAUGUAGCGGUGAAAUGCUUAGAUAUGAUGUUAGAACACCGAAUUGCGAAGGCAGCUCACUAA